rnacentral:rRNA from 1 species
GAUGAACGCUGGCGGCGUGCCUAAUACACGCAAGUCGAGCGAAUGGAUUAAGAGCUUGCUCUUAUGAAGUUAGCGGCGGACGGGUGAGUAACACGUGGGUAACCUGCCCAUAAGACUGGGAUAACUCCGGGAAACCGGGGCUAAUACCGGAUAACAUUUUGAACCGCAUGGUUCGAAAUUGAAAGGCGGCUUCGGCUGUAACUUAUGGAUGGACCCGCGUCGCAUUAGCUAGUUGGUGAGGUAACGGCUCACCAAGGCAACGAUGCGUAGCCGACCUGAGAGGGUGAUCGGCCACACUGGGACUGAGACACGGCCCAGACUCCUACGGGAGGCAGCGGUAGGGAAUCUUCCGCAAUGGACGAAAGUCUGACGGAGCAACGCCGCGUGAGUGAUGAAGGCUUUCGGGUCGUAAAACUCUGUUGUUAGGGAAGAACAAGUGCUAGUUGAAUAAGCUGGCACCUUGACGGUACCUAACCAGAAAGCCACGGCUAACUACGUGCCAGCAGCCGCCGUAA